AUUGUAUUACCCUUCUAUUCUUAAUUAUUAAAUUACUAGCUUCUAAAUUCACUUGAUUUCUGUCCAAAAACAAGUCAAAGGAUGAACCUAACCUUGCAUAACUACAGAGUUAUCUCAUAACUUGAGGUUUAACGUCGCGUUAUAAAGUGACCAGAUAACUCAAGAACUGUCAAGAAAUAACGCAAAUAGUUAAGUUAAGUAUGAUACAUCACACCAAUUCGAUGGUUAUAACAUAACUACAGGAUAACUUUACGUUAACGAUAACUUCGGUCAUCCAUCACAGGGCAGAAUAUCCGCAAAGUAACUACAGACCUAAUUGGCACCCAGGAGAGGGGCGUGGCCCUAGCCUUAACUCGUCUGUUUAGGCCCAGAGAAUAGAAUGUUCCCCAGAAAGUAACCACAUCGUGACUAGUAGAGUACCAGUUCCUCAAGACAGUCACCCAUGGGUUCGACGAACAGUUAAAUAGCUCCGGAGGCAACCACCAUACAUCAAACUUCCACCUGACGCCUCCCGAAGAAGAUCUGGAGCUGUGGAUAACCUAGAACAGCACCGAAAGAAGCCUUCACACCACAAGCUAAGUUUUUAAUAGAAUCUUGUACUUGCCUGUCAGCAGAGACAUCCUUUUUAUAUAAAGUAACUUCACAAUGACUAGAAUGUAGAUCCUGAAUUAUAACAAAAGAAAUGAGAAAAUAAAGCAUUUAUACCGAAA
rnacentral:lncRNA from 1 species